rnacentral:rRNA from 1 species
GCUAACUGCCAUACCACCCUGAAUGCGCCCUAUCUCGUCUGAUCUCGGAAGCUAAGCAGGGUCAGGCCUGGUUACUACUUGGAUGGGAGACCGCCUAGGAAUACCAGGUGUUGUAAGCU